GUGACUGCGUACCUUUUGUAUAAUGGGUCAGCGACUUAUAUUCUGUAGCAAGGUUAACCGUAUAGGGGAGCCGAAGGGAAACCGAGUCUUAACUGGGCGUUAAGUUGCAGGGUAUAGACCCGAAACCCGGUGAUCUAGCCAUGGGCAGGUUGAAGGUUGGGUAACACUAACUGGAGGACCGAACCGACUAAUGUUGAAAAAUUAGCGGAUGACUUGUGGCUGGGGGUGAAAGGCCAAUCAAACCGGGAGAUAGCUGGUUCUCCCCGAAAGCUAUUUAGGUAGCGCCUCGUGAACUCAUCUUCGGGGGUAGAGCACUGUUUCGGCUAGGGGGCCAUCCCGGCUUACCAACCCGAUGCAAACUACGAAUACCGAAGAAUGUUAUCACGGGAGACACACGGCGGGUGCUAACGUCCGUCGUGAAGAGGGAAACAACCCAGACCGCCAGCUAAGGUCCCAAAGUCAUGGUUAAGUGGGAAACGAUGUGGGAAGGCACAGACAGCCAGGAUGUUGGCUUAGAAGCAGCCAUCAUUUAAAGAAAGCGUAAUAGCUCACUGGUCGAGUCGGCCUGCGCGGAAGAUGUAACGGGGCUAAACCAUGCACCGAAGCUGCGGCAGCGACACUAUGUGUUGUUGGGUAGGGGAGCGUUCUGUAAGCCGUUGAAGGUGGCCUGUGAGGGUUGCUGGAGGUAUCAGAAGUGCGAAUGCUGACAUAAGUAACGAUAAUGCGGGUGAAAAGCCCGCACGCCGGAAGACCAAGGGUUCCUGUCCAACGUUAAUCGGGGCAGGGUGAGUCGACCCCUAAGGCGAGGCCGAAAGGCGUAGUCGAUGGGAAACAGGUUAAUAUUCCUGUACUUGGUGUUACUGCGAAGGGGGGACGGAGAAGGCUAUGUUAGCCGGGCGACGGUUGUCCCGGUUUAAGCAUGUAGGCGGAGGUUCCAGGUAAAUCCGGUACCUUUUAACGCUGAGGUGUGAUGACGAGGCACUACGGUGCUGAAGUAACAAAUGCCCUGCUUCCAGGAAAAGCCUCUAAGCAUCAGGUAACAUCAAAUCGUACCCCAAACCGACACAGGUGGUCAGGUAGAGAAUACCAAGGCGCUUGAGAGAACUCGGGUGAAGGAACUAGGCAAAAUGGUGCCGUAACUUCGGGAGAAGGCACGCUGAUAUGUAGGUGAAGCCCCUGCGGGUGGAGCUGAAAUCAGUCGAAGAUACCAGCUGGCUGCAACUGUUUAUUAAAAACACAGCACUGUGCAAACACGAAAGUGGACGUAUACGGUGUGACGCCUGCCCGGUGCCGGAAGGUUAAUUGAUGGGGUUAGCGGCAACGCGAAGCUCUUGAUCGAAGCCCCGGUAAACGGCGGCCGUAACUAUAACGGUCCUAAGGUAGCGAAAUUCCUUGUCGGGUAAGUUCCGACCUGCACGAAUGGCGUAAUGAUGGCCAGGCUGUCUCCACCCGAGACUCAGUGAAAUUGAACUCGCUGUGAAGAUGCAGUGUACCCGCGGCAAGACGGAAAGACCCCGUGAACCUUUACUAUAGCUUGACACUGAACACUGGUCCUUGAUGUGUAGGAUAGGUGGGAGGCUUUGAAGCGUGGACGCCAGUCUGCGUGGAGCCGACCUUGAAAUACCACCCUUUAAUGGCUGGUGUUCUAACGUAGACCCGUAAUCCGGGUUGCGGACAGUGUCUGGUGGGUAGUUUGACUGGGGCGGUCUCCUCCCAAAGAGUAACGGAGGAGCACGAAGGUUAGCUAAUCCUGGUCGGACAUCAGGAGGUUAGUGCAAUGGCAUAAGCUAGCUUGACUGCGAGAGUGACGGCUCGAGCAGGUGCGAAAGCAGGUCAUAGUGAUCCGGUGGUUCUGAAUGGAAGGGCCAUCGCUCAACGGAUAAAAGGUACUCCGGGGAUAACAGGCUGAUACCGCCCAAGAGUUCAUAUCGACGGCGGUGUUUGGCACCUCGAUGUCGGCUCAUCACAUCCUGGGGCUGAAGUAGGUCCCAAGGGUAUGGCUGUUCGCCAUUUAAAGUGGUACGCGAGCUGGGUUUAGAACGUCGUGAGACAGUUCGGUCCCUAUCUGCCGUGGGCGCUGGAGAAUUGAGGGGGGCUGCUCCUAGUACGAGAGGACCGGAGUGGACGCAUCACUGGUGUUCGGGUUGUCAUGCCAAUGGCACUGCCCGGUAGCUAAAUGCGGAAAAGAUAAGUGCUGAAAGCAUCUAAGCACGAAACUUGCCCCGAGAUGAGUUCUCCCUGACCCUUUAAGGGUCCUGAAGGAACGUUGAAGACUACGACGUUGAUAGGUCGGGUGUGUAAGCGCAGCGAUGCGUUGAGCUAACCGAUACUAAUGAACCGUGAGGCUUAACCUUACAACGCCGAAGCUGUU
rnacentral:rRNA from 1 species